CAUAAUCGAUUUUUAACACGUCACAAAUCUAUCGACUCAGUUUCAGAGUUUUACAUUCGUAUGUGAAAUUACGUUAUAGAGGUUAUUUUUGAACUUUUUAUCUGGUUUAAACAUAUGAAAGUCACAUUGGAUCUAAAUGAUUCUGGCGUGUCAUUUAAUACUCUAAAAAAGGAGUGUGCUAUCGCAGAGUUAGCUGGAAACUCAUCUGUCUUCAAAAAAGAUACAUAUGUCGUGACAUUUGCAGAUGAUCGUAAACAUUCCAUGAACAUUUCUUCAGCAAUGAUAUUGAAACACGCUUUGUGGUAGUAAUUGUUUUUACGUUUUUUACACAACGAUCCCUUCGACUAGAAGCAAUCGAUUUGAAUGGUCGUUAAAUGUGGGAGCGGAGGAAACGAGUGCCGGGUACAGAUGGUACUACUUAGUACCGCGAGUACAGUGAAAGUAAGUACACUCGCUAUGCUCCUUUGGCAAAACAAAGAGGGAAGAAAUGACUUUUGCGUUUAUCCAAGGUAAAAUUAAGGAGAGAAGAACGAAACUACUCUCGAUUAACUCUCGAUCUGAUUUUUUCGGACUAUCUGAUCGAUAAACAGAAGCCAUUCGCUAAAAAAUAUUGCGAUUGCGUCAACAUCUAAAUGAUAUAUAUACAUGAGUUUUCCAUUAAAAUUUUAAAUCGGUAUAAAAAGUAGCUUUUUAGCUCUAUCAUAUAGUAUACGGCAAGACACAGUAUACGGCAAGUAUAAAAUUAAUUAUAUUUACAGAUCUUUGAGACAAUACGUUUCGAUUAUUGAAGGACACUAGGGUAGUCGACUGACUAGUCAGUCAAUGUCCACCAGCUGUACGCGUAUCAGCGAAACCAGUUUUGGCUGGCAUAAUGGUCCAAAAACAGGAACGGUAACGAGUUCCAACGUUUUUCCCCAUAGUUUGUACAUACAUAUAGCGAUCCCUUUCCGUAGCUGUAGCGCAUCGUCGUUUCGAGGUUGUUCCAUUUGGAACGCUUUGCUGACUGUUUAAAAAUGUUUUUCGAACGACAUUUUUCGUCUUGAGUCGUUCAUUACUUUUCAUGAGUCAUUUUAAUUAAAUUGUAGUGUUCAAUGAAUUCAUGUUUUUGUGUUAUCAUCAUUAUUUGAAUAAUCUAAUAAUUUACUUGAAUGUGAAUAGCCUACUAAUCAUUCACGUAUAAAUGUGAGGAGCGAUAGGUGAUAGGUAUCUGUAAUUAUGCUAAUUACAAAGGAGGAUAAACAAGGAUAAAUAUAGCACUUAUCUCAUUAUAAAUGAUAUAGGUAUCGGAAUCCUCACUUCGCUUAUUUCGCUGCACAAUUGCCUUUUUGUAAAAGCGGCAGAAUUUUUUUAAUUUAUCGAAUAAUUAGAUUCUAUCUAAUGAGUAUAUAUAUAACUAUACUCAUAAUAUGUACUGUGUAUAUUUUAUGAUUAAUUUAUACAAUUUAUCAUCAUGUAGUAUAAUUAAUUUAUACUGUCUAUAAAAGUACUUAAUGCGUGAAUGUAGUAAUAAUACGAUCAGAUUUGAGUAACUUAAAAAAUUAAUAAUUUUAAACAAUUAUUUUGAAUUACCUAUACG